CUUUAGUUCAGAUUAGGAUCAUGGCUUCUUUUGAAUGUACUAGUUUCUUUGAGUUCUUAGUUCAGUGCUGAAAAACUAACACUUCUAGACAUCUCUGACAAGUUCAAAUAAAAAGCCAUUAGGAUCUUCUAAAUUUAAAUCUCACAGGAAAGUUGAGUUUACAAAAAUGCCUGUCUAUGGCGUGUAUGGAUCUAUAUAGGAAAACAACAGCACAGGUUAAGUUAGCAUUGGGCAAGUCUUAUUUUUAUUUUCUAUCUAGAUACUGGGAGAUGAAGAGUCGUAUAUGAAAAUAAACAACUUUGUAAAGGAUUCUGAGGAUAUAGUGGAGAGUCUGUGCUCAUGAUGAGUUGACAGUCACACUCAGGAAACUGGGAAAAAGAGUCCUGAGGGCAGAAAGAAAUGAGAUCUACCUGGUGGAGGCAGAACAAAAAGAUUAUACCACCUGUGUUCAUUCUUGCAAGAUGUGAAUAUAAGGAGCUAUUUUCAACUGAAAAGUCUGUAGAAGAGAUUUUGGAACAAACAGGAGUAAAUCAACAGGAUCUAAUUGUGAGGAGCAGAUGAUACUUCUCCAGAUGGAACUCAAAUGUGAAAUUGCAGAAGUUUAACUUUGGUUCCAGGUAAGUAAGUAAACAUUAAUACAGUUUUGAUGAGAGUAAAUACAAUGUUUUAGGAGCUCAAACA
rnacentral:lncRNA from 1 species